rnacentral:rRNA from 1 species
GCGGAGGAAAAGAAACUAACAAGGAUUCCCCUAGUAACGGCGAGUGAAGCGGGAUGAGCUCAAAUUUAAAAUCUGGCGGCCUCAGGUCGUCCGAGUUGUAGUCUAGAGAAUCGUUUUCCGCGUUGGCCUGUGUACAAGUCCCUUGGAACAGGGCGUCAUAGAGGGUGAGAAUCCCGUCCUUGACACAGACUACCAAUGCUUUGUGAUGCGAUCUCGAAGAGUCGAGUUGUUUGGGAAUGCAGCUCAAAAUGGGUGGUAAAUUCCAUCUAAAGCUAAAUAUUGGCGAGAGACCGAUAGCGAACAAGUACCGUGAGGGAAAGAUGAAAAGCACUUUGGAAAGAGAGUUAAACAGUACGUGAAAUUGUUAAAAGGGAAACGAUUGAAGUCAGUCAUGCUUUCCGAGACUCAGCCGAUUCUGUCGGUGUACUUCUCGGUUGGCAGGCCAGCAUCAGUUUCGAUCUGUGGAAAAGGUUGGAGGGAACGUGGCAUCCUCGGAUGUGUUAUAGCCCUUCUUCGAAUACAUAGAGCGGGACUGAGGAACGCAGCGCGCCUUUUAUUAGGUUGGCCCUCGGGUACAUACGCGCUUAGGAUGCUGGCAUAAUGGCUUUAAACGACCCGUCU